AGACUUCAGAUCUCAGACUCAGUUGGCAUCCCUUUCUUUCUGUGAUACCCCAAAUCUGGGUUGGCCUUCCUAAGUGCUCCCAGCAAGCCCUGUGCACCCCUUAUCAUCAUUCUCAAUACAGCAUCUAACUGCAUGUCUCAACCACAGUGCCAUGUGUGGAAAGAUGACAGCACCCUUUCUUGUCCUUAUCACUGUUGCUGACAAUGUGUUCUCAGGACUUCUCUGCUGAAAGGAAGACUAAAUGAGUCAGUGGAGAGAGCUGGUGCUCUUACAGAAAAUUAAAAAUCUGUGAGUGACAUCUUCUACCAAGUUAAUCCUCAAGCAUGUCCAAAAGAAAUAUGUGUCCUUUAAACAAUUUAGACCAUCACAAGUACAAGGAAAGAGGAAGUCUCUUAUGGUUAACAGGAAAAAAAAAUGUAGAAGGAAGUAAGCCAGGGAAAGGAAAACAGCAAACUGAGCCAUGUCAUCAAGAAAAGGAGAUUAUACAAUUCCUGACAAAUAAAAAUACUUAAUAAUCA
rnacentral:lncRNA from 1 species